rnacentral:misc_RNA from 1 species
UCCGGUUUGACACCGGCAGUCUCCCUAGAGUGCCCGGCAUAACCCGCUGGUAACUAGGGACGAGGGUUGCGCUCGUUGCGGGACUUAACCCAACAUCUCACGACACGAGCUGACGACAGCCAUGCAGCACCUGUGUUACGGUUCCCUUUCGGGCACUCCCCCAUCUCUGGGGGAUUCCGUACAUGUCAAGGGUAGGUAAGGUUUUUCGCGUUGCAUCGAAUUAAUCCACAUAAUCCACCGCUUGUGCGGGUCCCCGCCAAUUCCUUUGAGUUUUAAUCUUGCGACCGUACUCCCCAGGCGGAAUGCUUAUUGCGUUAGCUUCGUUACCAAGGAAUUGCUUCCCCGACAACCAGUUGACAUAGUUUAGGGCGUGGACUAC